rnacentral:rRNA from 1 species
CGCGUGGAGGAAGAAGGUCUUCGGAUUGUAAACUCCUGUUGUUGAGGAAGAAAGACGGUACUCAACAAGGAAGUGACGGCUAACUACGUGCCAGCAGCCGCGGUAAAACGUAGGUCACAAGCGUUGUCCGGAAUUACUGGGUGUAAAGGGAGCGCAGGCGGGAGACAAGUUGGAAGUGAAAUCCAUGGGCUCAACCCAUGAACUGCUUUCAAAACUUUUUUCUUGAGUAGUGCAGAGGUAGGCGGAAUUCCCGGUGUAGCGGUGGAAUGCGUAGAUAUCGGGAGGAACACCAGUGGCGAAGGCGGCCUACUGGGCACCAACUGACGCUGAGGCUCGAAAGUGUGGGUAGCAAACAGGAUUAGAUACCCUGGUAGUCCACACCGUACACGAUGAUUACUAG